rnacentral:rRNA from 1 species
GACGAACGCUGGCGGCGUGCUUAACACAUGCAAGUCGAACGGAAAGGCCCUGCUUUUGUGGGGUGCUCGAUUGGCGAACGGGGGAGUAACACGUGAGUAACCUGCCCUUGACUUUGGGAUAACUUCAGGAAACUGGGGCUAAUACCGGAUAGGAGCUCCUGCUGCAUGGGGGGGGUUGGAAAGUUUCGGCGGUUGGGGAUGGUCUCGCGGCUUAUCCGCUUGUUGGUGGGGUAGUGGCUUACCAAGGCUUUGACGGGUAGCCGGCCUGAGAGGGUGACCGGCCACAUUGGGACUGAGAUACGGCCCAGACUCCUACGGGAGGCAGCAGUGGGGAAUAUUGCACAAUGGGCGGAAGCCUGAUGCAGCAACGCCGCGUGCGGGAUGACGGCCUUCGGGUUGUAAACCGCUUUCGCCUGUGACGAAGCGUGAGUGACGGUAAUGGGUAAAGAAGCACCGGCUAACUACGUG